GGUUAAGCGACUAAGCGUACACGGUGGAUGCCCUGGCAGUCAGAGGCGAUGAAGGACGUGCUAAUCUGCGAUAAGCGUCGGUAAGGUGAUAUGAACCGUUAUAACCGGCGAUUUCCGAAUGGGGAAACCCAGUGUGAUUCGUCACACUAUCAUUAACUGAAUCCAUAGGUUAAUGAGGCGAACCGGGGGAACUGAAACAUCUAAGUACCCCGAGGAAAAGAAAUCAACCGAGAUUCCCCCAGUAGCGGCGAGCGAACGGGGAGCAGCCCAGAGCCUGAAUCAGUGUGUGUGUUAGUGGAAGCGUCUGGAAAGGCGCGCGAUACAGGGUGACAGCCCCGUACACAAAAAUGCACAUAUUGUGAGCUCGAUGAGUAGGGCGGGACACGUGGUAUCCUGUCUGAAUAUGGGGGGCCCAUCCUCCAAGGCUAAAUACUCCUGACUGACCGAUAGUGAACCAGUACCGUGAGGGAAAGGCGAAAAGAACCCCGGCGAGGGGAGUGAAAAAGAACCUGAAACCGUGUACGUACAAGCAGUGGGAGCACGCUUAGGCGUGUGACUGCGUACCUUUUGUAUAAUGGGUCAGCGACUUAUAUUCUGUAGCAAGGUUAACCGAAUAGGGGAGCCGAAGGGAAACCGAGUCUUAACUGGGCGUUAAGUUGCAGGGUAUAGACCCGAAACCCGGUGAUCUAGCCAUGGGCAGGUUGAAGGUUGGGUAACACUAACUGGAGGACCGAACCGACUAAUGUUGAAAAAUUAGCGGAUGACUUGUGGCUGGGGGUGAAAGGCCAAUCAAACCGGGAGAUAGCUGGUUCUCCCCGAAAGCUAUUUAGGUAGCGCCUCGUGAAUUCAUCUCCGGGGGUAGAGCACUGUUUCGGCAAGGGGGUCAUCCCGACUUACCAACCCGAUGCAAACUGCGAAUACCGGAGAAUGUUAUCACGGGAGACACACGGCGGGUGCUAACGUCCGUCGUGAAGAGGGAAACAACCCAGACCGCCAGCUAAGGUCCCAAAGUCAUGGUUAAGUGGGAAACGAUGUGGGAAGGCCCAGACAGCCAGGAUGUUGGCUUAGAAGCAGCCAUCAUUUAAAGAAAGCGUAAUAGCUCACUGGUCGAGUCGGCCUGCGCGGAAGAUGUAACGGGGCUAAACCAUGCACCGAAGCUGCGGCAGCGACGCUUAUGCGUUGUUGGGUAGGGGAGCGUUCUGUAAGCCUGCGAAGGUGUGCUGUGAGGCAUGCUGGAGGUAUCAGAAGUGCGAAUGCUGACAUAAGUAACGAUAAAGCGGGUGAAAAGCCCGCUCGCCGGAAGACCAAGGGUUCCUGUCCAACGUUAAUCGGGGCAGGGUGAGUCGACCCCUAAGGCGAGGCCGAAAGGCGUAGUCGAUGGGAAACAGGUUAAUAUUCCUGUACUUGGUGUUACUGCGAAGGGGGGACGGAGAAGGCUAUGUUGGCCGGGCGACGGUUGUCCCGGUUUAAGCGUGUAGGCUGGUUUUCCAGGCAAAUCCGGAAAAUCAAGGCUGAGGCGUGAUGACGAGGCACUACGGUGCUGAAGCAACAAAUGCCCUGCUUCCAGGAAAAGCCUCUAAGCAUCAGGUAACAUCAAAUCGUACCCCAAACCGACACAGGUGGUCAGGUAGAGAAUACCAAGGCGCUUGAGAGAACUCGGGUGAAGGAACUAGGCAAAAUGGUGCCGUAACUUCGGGAGAAGGCACGCUGAUAUGUAGGUGAAGUCCCUUGCGGAUGGAGCUGAAAUCAGUCGAAGAUACCAGCUGGCUGCAACUGUUUAUUAAAAACACAGCACUGUGCAAACACGAAAGUGGACGUAUACGGUGUGACGCCUGCCCGGUGCCGGAAGGUUAAUUGAUGGGGUCAGCGCAAGCGAAGCUCUUGAUCGAAGCCCCGGUAAACGGCGGCCGUAACUAUAACGGUCCUAAGGUAGCGAAAUUCCUUGUCGGGUAAGUUCCGACCUGCACGAAUGGCGUAAUGAUGGCCAGGCUGUCUCCACCCGAGACUCAGUGAAAUUGAACUCGCUGUGAAGAUGCAGUGUACCCGCGGCAAGACGGAAAGACCCCGUGAACCUUUACUAUAGCUUGACACUGAACAUUGAGCCUUGAUGUGUAGGAUAGGUGGGAGGCUUUGAAGUGUGGACGCCAGUCUGCAUGGAGCCGGCCUUGAAAUACCACCCUUUAAUGUUUGAUGUUCUAACGUGGACCCGUGAUCCGGGUUGCGGACAGUGUCUGGUGGGUAGUUUGACUGGGGCGGUCUCCUCCUAAAGAGUAACGGAGGAGCACGAAGGUUGGCUAAUCCUGGUCGGACAUCAGGAGGUUAGUGCAAUGGCAUAAGCCAGCUUGACUGCGAGCGUGACGGCGCGAGCAGGUGCGAAAGCAGGUCAUAGUGAUCCGGUGGUUCUGAAUGGAAGGGCCAUCGCUCAACGGAUAAAAGGUACUCCGGGGAUAACAGGCUGAUACCGCCCAAGAGUUCAUAUCGACGGCGGUGUUUGGCACCUCGAUGUCGGCUCAUCACAUCCUGGGGCUGAAGUAGGUCCCAAGGGUAUGGCUGUUCGCCAUUUAAAGUGGUACGCGAGCUGGGUUUAGAACGUCGUGAGACAGUUCGGUCCCUAUCUGCCGUGGGCGCUGGAGAACUGAGGGGGGCUGCUCCUAGUACGAGAGGACCGGAGUGGACGCAUCACUGGUGUUCGGGUUGUCAUGCCAAUGGCACUGCCCGGUAGCUAAAUGCGGAAGAGAUAAGUGCUGAAAGCAUCUAAGCACGAAACUUGCCCCGAGAUGAGUUCUCCCUGACCCUUUAAGGGUCCUGAAGGAACGUUGAAGACGACGACGUUGAUAGGCCGGGUGUGUAAGCGCAGCGAUGCGUUGAGCUAACCGGUACUAAUGAACCGUGAGG
rnacentral:rRNA from 2 species